rnacentral:tRNA from 1 species
UCUACCAAAGGAUAAUAGUANUCCACUGGGUCUU